UCCCUGGUGGCUCAGACGGUAAAGCGUCUGCCUGCAAUGCGGGAGACCCAGGUUCAAUUCCUGGGUCGGGAA
rnacentral:tRNA from 1 species